UAUUUCACCUGUCAAAUAGUUCAUUUCGCUGUAUAUUUCACCUCAUGUAGCCGCGCGGUGAAUCGUUACGGCGCAUUUGUCAAACAACUGCCGUGGGGAAUGGUUCAUUGACUAGUGUGGUUGUGGAAUCAAUUGCUGGAUCGAAGUAGAGAUGCAGUUUUUGAGCCCGACUAGAAACGGAAGUAGUUUACGGAUAACCAUUGAUUCGGGAGCAAUUCCAGGAAUGAUGUCAAUACGUAGUUCCAGAAACGUUGAGGAUAAAGGAUACGUUCCAGAACCGGUAUGGAUUCGCGAACAGUUCCAGGGAAUGUUUCAGAAUAGUUCCAGAACCGGUUAGGGUCCAGGAUCAUUCACAUGAUUGAUAACAAAGAUUAAGAAUAAUUUCUCUUUCGAUGAUGGUUCAGAAACAGACACUCAUGAUGAGCCCCGUGAGAGUCCAGAAGUACCUGGUAAUUCAGUUAUUAUUGUUUUAUAUCUUUGCUGGAACUCUGGAGUUCCAUUAGAUACAUCGGAAAUCAUUUACCUAGUAGUCGGACCAAAUUAACUAGUUUAUAGUAUUUUCUGAAUAAAGAACAGUGGAAACCGUUCGUUAAAACUGAAUAAAAAAAGGAAUUAAGGGAAACAGUCACAGGUUCCUGUCAUCGAUAUUGUACUGAGUUGUAUUUUUAAAGAUGUAAAGAUGCAUGUACAUGGAGAUAAGCUUAACUUUCAUUACCAAAGGCGUCAUCCAUCAAUUACGUAACGCUGUUAGGGAGGCAAGGGGCUUUCGUCAAACUCUACGAUUUCUUACAUGGGGUGGAGGGAGUUAAAGUUGUGUUACUUAAGGCAAAAUAAAAUAUUAGAUUUUUUUUAUUAUAACAAAUGAGUAAUAAACGAUAAUUAGUGGCAAUGACUGAAUA